GCAGUCGAGGGGUAUUGUUCUUCGGAAUGAGAGACCGGCGCACGGGUGCGUAACGCGUAUGCAAUCUACCUUUCACAGAGGGAUAGCCCAGAGAAAUUUGGAUUAAUACCUCAUAGUAUAGUAUAACCGCAUGGUUGAACUAUUAAAGUCACAACGGUGAAAGAUGAGCAUGCGUCCCAUUAGCUUGUUGGUAAGGUAACGGCUUACCAAGGCAACGAUGGGUAGGGGUCCUGAGAGGGAGAUCCCCCACACUGGUACUGAGACACGGACCAGACUCCUACGGGAGGCAGCAGUGAGGAAUAUUGGACAAUGGGCGCAAGCCUGAUCCAGCCAUGCCGCGUGCAGGAUGACGGUCCUAUGGAUUGUAAACUGCUUUUGCACAGGAAGAAACACUCGGACGUGUCCGAGCUUGACGGUACUGUGAGAAUAAGGAUCGGCUAACUCCGUGCCAGCAGCCGCGGUAAUACGGAGGAUCCAAGCGUUAUCCGGAAUCAUUGGGUUUAAAGGGUCCGUAGGCGGUUUGGUAAGUCAGUGGUGAAAGCCCAUCGCUCAACGGUGGAACGGCCAUUGAUACUGCUAGACUUGAAUUAUUAGGAAGUAACUAGAAUAUGUAGUGUAGCGGUGAAAUGCUUAGAGAUUACAUGGAAUACCAAUUGCGAAGGCAGGUUACUACUAAUGGAUUGACGCUGAUG
rnacentral:rRNA from 1 species